rnacentral:rRNA from 1 species
UGCCGCGUGAGUGAAGAAGGUCUUCGGAUUGUAAAGCUCUUUCGACGGGGACGAUGAUGACGGUACCCGUAGAAGAAGCCCCGGCUAACUUCGUGC